UUCCGUCCAAUGCUAAAUACGGGCGAGAGAUCGAUAGCGAACAAGUACCGCGAGGGAAAGAUGAAAAGGACUUUGAAAAGAGAGUUAAAGAGUGCUUGAAAUUGCCGGGAGGGAAGCGGAUGGAGGCCGACGAUGCGUCUCGGUCAGAUGCGGAACGGCUCAAGCUGGUCCGCCGCUCGACCCGAGGUGCGAACCAGCACAGGCCAUUGCAUCGGCACAAGCGCGGGUGGAGUACUGCCUGGUGGUUUUCCGUUGUGGCAGUCAAGGAACGAAGCGUGCGCCCUUCAGGCGGGCCACUAUGCACCUGCACGCUCGUGGUGUUGGUUGGUGGGCUUUCCAUUCGACCUGUCUUCAAACACGGACCAAGGAGUCUAACAUGUGUGCGUGUCGGUGGGUUUGUAAACCUGUGAGGUGUAAGGAAGCUGACGGGCGAGAACUCCUCUCCAAGGGGUGCAUUGUCGACCGACCUUGAGCUUGUGAGAAGGGUUCGAGUGUGAGCACACUUGUUGGGACCCGAAGGAUGGUGAACUAUGCCUGAGCAGGGCGAAGCCAGAGGAAACUCUGGUGGAGGCCCGUAGCGAUACUGACGUGCAAAUCGUUCAUCUGAAUUGGGUAUAGGGGAGAAAGACUAAUCGAACCAUCUAGUAGCUAGUUUCCUCCGAAGUUUCCCUCAGGAUAGCUGGAGCUCACGUGCGAGUUUUAUCAGGUAAAGCAAAUGAUUAGAGGCAUUGGGGGCAUAACGCCCUCAACCUAUUCUCAAACUUUAAAUAGGUAAGACGGUGCAACUGCUCCAUUGAGCCGUGCCACAGAAUCAAGAGCUCCAAGUGGGUCAUUUUUGGUAAGCAGAACUAGCGAUGCAGGAUGAACCGAAAGUCGAGUUACGGUGCCAAACUGCACGCUAACCCAGAACCCACAAAGGGUGUUGGUUGAUUAAGACAGCAGGACGGUGGUCAUGGAAGUCGAAAUCCGCUAAGGAGUGUGUAACAACUCACUUGCCGAAUC
rnacentral:ncRNA from 1 species